UACGGGGGGAGCAAGCGUUGUUCGGAUUUACUGGGCGUAAAGGGCGCGUAGGCGGCCACCGCAAGUCGGUUGUGAAAUCUCCGGGCUUAACCCGGAAAGGUCAACUGAUACUGCGGGGCUAGAGUGCAGAAGGGGCAACUGGAAUUCUCGGUGUAGCGGUGAAAUGCGUAGAUAUCGAGAGGAACACCUGCGGCGAAGGCGGGCUGCUGGGCUGACACUGACGCUGAGGCGCGAAAGCCAGGGGAGCGAACGGG
rnacentral:rRNA from 1 species